rnacentral:rRNA from 1 species
UACGUAGGGUGCGAGCGUUGUCCGGAAUUAUUGGGCGUAAAGAGCUCGUAGGCGGUUUGUCACGUCUGCUGUGAAAUCCCGAGGCUCAACCUCGGGCCUGCAGUGGGUACGGGCAGACUGGAGUGCGGUAGGGGAGAAUGGAAUUCCUGGUGUAGCGGUGGAAUGCGCAGAUAUCAGGAGGAACACCGAUGGCGAAGGCAGUUCUCUGGGCCGUAACUGACGCUGAGGAGCGAAAGCUAGGGGAGCAAACAGG